UGGUUUCUGAAGGAAAAAAAUGAAUUGGUGGUGGGGAGUUAAGAUAAUCAGAAAUACUAUGAAACAUCCCCACUUUUAGCACACAUUUGCAAGCAGGCAAAGUAACCUAUGUGUGCUGAGGCAUGUGUGAUCACUCAACUUUGACAGGACCGACAAAAAAAGACAUUCUCACAUGCAAACAAAAGAUAGCAUGUGCCUAACUUGCACCGUUAUGCAAUUAUUAGGAGACUAGAUACAAAUAUCUAAUCCUGGCUACUAAUGUUCUAGCAUUAAUGUAUUGAGGCAAGCAGAUCAGAAAUGUCAAGGUAGUACCCAAGCAUAUACCAUGUGUAUAUGUGACACACACAUUUGUAUGGUCAUAUUUUUGAUGUUUUUAUUUGUUAUUUUAUGGAGCCAUCCCUUAAUGGAGCCAUUUUCUACACAUCCCAGGUAUUUACAUUUGAUAUAUGUACAUGAUUACUGCCGCUAGGGGGAGCUGUGACGUCAAUGGAGUGCAUUAGUGAGAUUGAGGUCUUGGAGAUUUCUUCUUCAAUCUUGGAGAAUUACUAUUUCUGAAAACUAAUGUUUCUCCGUCUCAUAAUUUAACCCUAUUAAUUCAGGUAUGUAAUGUGCAAAAGUGCAAUAUGACUCAAAAUAUUGAGGCAACAUGUUUAAUUACAAAGUUCAUGAGUUUGGUGAUAUGACGGCAAUUGAAGGGAGUUUUAACCGAGUGAAAAACUGGUUGGUAUUUUCCCCAUUGUAUCUAAUGGAGUUAGGUUUGGUUGCUAAUGGUUUACAUACAUGUAAGAGAAAGGAUUAAGAUGGCGUCCAAACUUUGUACUUUUUUCAACAAUGUUUUAAAUCCAAUUUGUUUUAUUUUCUAUGAACAAAGGUUCUGUUUACUUUAGGUAAUAUAUGUAAAUAUGUGAUGUCACAAUAAAAUGUGUUAGUGUUAAUAUUUGUACGAAAAUUGCGUUUAACAGUUCGCAAGCUUGAUGCUAACCAAAUGUAGCUUGGCUAAGCACUAGUAAACUCUAGUCAAUGCCAGCUUACAUGUUAGUGGUUAAUAAUGUAAUGGUUGUAGCACUGUUUCGCAUAGGCGUCCAAUAAUUAAGAGUUUUUUUCUGAAAUUGACACUGAUAGUACAGUGAGUUAUAUAACAUGUGUAUGGUGACUCUUAAGUUUGGAUGAUCGGACCAACGUGACUGCCAUGGACAAGUCCCAGGGUACCAGGAAUGGUGGGAGGACAAUCUGAAGGUAAUUAUCUUUGCACACAACAGCAGCGUCCAGGCCGCUAGAGUACUCACCCUAUCGCCUGCUGUACUAACGGGAGCUGCAGCUGUUUACUGAGGUAAACAAUGCAAUUGUAUAUAAAAUAAUUGCCUAUACUGUAGUAUAUACAAUUUGUGAUUGACUUAGUGUUUUUCUAUUGCUAUUUUUGUAUAACGUACUUGAGAUCACUGAUACUCCACCUGAUGUGGUGGAAGUUGUCGAACCAGAUCAGAAUGCCUUCCAGGACCACCAUCAGGCACAGACUGAGAAGGAUGUGAAGAUUUUUGACCAGGGUGAGACAGAACAUGGACAAGGCUCAGGAAAAACAGAAGGACAGCCACCGGAGGAGAAUCAAGGGGACCAAGUGCUUCGACAGCUGGUCGAAUGACUUGGCUUGGAAGAAGGACGAAAGGAAGGCAAGACCUGGGAAAGCUUGGUGCUCUUUCGCCCCUAGCUGGGGUCACCAUCCGUUAAGGGAACGUACCUUACCUCCCUUAUCAACCCCACUGACAUAAAACAUCUGACAAGCUAAGAAAGAGCAAGAAAACUAUCAUACUGGGCACAUAAUGUGAGAUGCACAGAUCCGCUUAAAACACUGGCACUGCAAACACUCAGAACAAAGAGGGCAGCAGCGCCUGGACUUUGCAGUUUCCCCUCUUCGGGUCCACCUUCCAAGACUGACUACCUGUUGAAAACAAACAAGUGACAGGCAGAACCUCCCAUCCACAUAGCACCCACCUCCUCUCUGUUAAACACUACAGAAUUCAGUAUUUUAGUCUGAUUGCCAUACUAUUGCUCGGCCUCCAACCGCAAGGCACUUCAGAUGGUAGUGCGUAC